UACGAAGGGGGCUAGCGUUGCUCGGAAUUACUGGGCGUAAAGCGCACGUAGGCGGCUUUCUAAGUCGGGGGUGAAAUCCUGGAGCUCAACUCCAGAACUGCCUUCGAUACUGGAAAGCUCGAGUCCGGGAGAGGUGAGUGGAACUGCGAGUGUAGAGGUGAAAUUCGUAGAUAUUCGCAAGAACACCAGUGGCGAAGGCGGCUCACUGGCCCGGUACUGACGCUGAGGUGCGAAAGCGUGAGGAGCAAACAGG
rnacentral:rRNA from 1 species